GAUUUAUUUGUUAAGUGGCUCGCUCACUUGUCGCCAUGCUGGGGACCCUAACUUUAAUGGCUUUUUCUAGGAAGAGUGGAAGUUAAAAAUAAAUGCUUUCUACCAAAAACUUUUUAAAUCCAUGCUUUGUGAUAAGAGCUUCUAAGCAACGUUUAGUUUUAUUGUUAUAUUAAAAUUAGAUGUAGCUAAAGUCAUAAUAUCUCCUGUUGAAGAAAGGAACCUCAGGGGAGAGAUUAAUGAGGAAGAGAGAAGAUGAGAAUGAAGCGUUGUCAUGGAAGAUGGAUUGAGUGGUUUCAAUGAAGAAAUAAGAAUUAUUGCAUUUUGAACUGUGAAUUACGUUUUAAAACAUGCAUGUAUGAUCACUGUGCAAUUAGUAUGUGGAUGCCCUGGUGGACUCUAGUAUACGAUAUGAUCUCUAGUUUUUAGAGUAUAGAUUGAAAAGCUCUAGGCCUUCCCUGUUCCUAUCAUUCUCCAUGCAUGUUCCUAGACAAAGAGAAUGAAUUCAUACCUAUGAACUAAUAACUUAGUGGCUGUUUGAAAAUAUAACCGCAUAAGUUCAAGGGAAGAUAUAUUUUGGGUACUAUCAUUUGUCAACUUGGCCAGGUCUUUGAUCAAAUGCCUAUCUAUAGAGUCCCCUUAUGUAGCCCAUGCUGGCCUUGAACACACAGAGCUUCUUUGAUGGGGUUGUCCAUGUGUCCAUGUCCUUUUGGGGGUCUGCUUCUCUUGAACAUCAUUGCUAGCAGAUCACCAAAUCGAUAUCGGGAGCAGCUGAGUAUGAUGUGUGAUGAGGUGAAUACUUUCAAUCUUGUCUCUCUUUCCUAGAAAAAGAUCUUUCUGUCUGUCUUUCUUUCUCUUAUUCUUUUUUUAGUGUGUCUUCAUUAUAUAAUUUAAAAAAUGUGCAUUUGCAACCAUGAAAAAGGUAGCUUACUAUACAUCAUUAGAAUGCAAAAGGAACAAUGUUAGGGAGGAGACAGCAUGGUAACAGAUGUGAUAAAAUAUUGUCAUGUGUGCUUUUCUUUACAUACUUUGUGUGUGUGUGUGUGUGUGUGUGUGUGUGUGUGCAUAUGCCACAUGAUUUUCAGGAACGGGUUCAGUCCUUCCUCAUUGUUGUGACAAUGGCAUCUCUUGCUUCUGCUGAACUGUGUAUUCCAUGCUAGCUGGUCCCCAAGCUUUUGAAUGAUUGUAUUGUCUCCUCCCAUCUCAAGGUGGGGUGCUGGGAUUGCAGAUCAAAGAGGCCUCAGCUGGCUUUUUUAAUCUGUUCUUUUUGGGAUAGAGCUCCGGUCAUCAGGCUUGCUAGAGAGUGCGUUUAUCUGUUAAGUGUCUCCCUACCCCUGCUUGCUUUUCCUAAUGGAGAUCUUGUUUUAGAGUUGAGGAACACAAUAAAUAAAGUAGGUUUGUAUACACCACUUGAGGUAAUAUCC
rnacentral:lncRNA from 1 species